AUUGAACGCUGGCGGCAUGCCUUACACAUGCAAGUCGAACGGUAACAGGUUAAGCUGACGAGUGGCGAACGGGUGAGUAAUACAUCGGAACGUGCCCAGACGUGGGGGAUAGCACGGCGAAAGCCGGAUUAAUACCGCAUGUGCUCUGAGGAGGAAAGCGGGGGAUCGCAAGACCUCGCGCGUCUGGGGCGGCCGGUGGCAGAUUAGGUAGUUGGUGGGGUAAAGGCUUACCAAGCCUACGAUCUGUAGCUGGUCUGAGAGGACGACCAGCCACACUGGGACUGAGACACGGCCCAGACUCCUACGGGAGGCAGCGGUGGGGAAUUUUGGACAAUGGGCGAAAGCCUGAUCCAGCAAUGCCGCGUGCAGGAUGAAGGCCUUCGGGUUGUAAACUGCUUUUGUACGGAACGAAAAGGCGCCUACUAAUACUGGGCGUUGAUGACGGUACCGUAAGAAUGAGCACCGGCUAACUACGUGCCAGCCGCCGCAGUAAUAC
rnacentral:rRNA from 1 species